rfam:Nicotiana attenuata strain TT chromosome 6, whole genome shotgun sequence.
UGGACAGAUUAUUGUAUUCGAGUGUAUUCACAGCGUGAAAUAGGGGAUUACACUAUUUUAAGACGGAAAGUGAAUCAAUUAAUAUAAUAGACUCCU